rnacentral:lncRNA from 1 species
CAGUGCAGGCAGUGGGCUGGGUAUAGUAACCAGGGCAUGUGUGUUGUUGCCAGAAUCAGAGCCACUUUCCAUUUACACCGGGUACAGGCGCACGUGAGACACCGCGCGGCGCUGGUCCAUUAACGGACCCGUGUACCCGGGUACCCGAAACGGACUCCGGAUCCAGGUGGUUUAUAACUCUCAGCGUUGCAGCUGCUCUGCUCGGGUUCACGUCUUUACAAAAAACUUGAACCUGCAAUAACGCUGUGCAGAAGACAACGAUGUACUCCUCUACAACCAUGAACCAGCAGGACCAAUGGGUUGGACCAGUCUCUCCUUUGGUCAACGCUGCACAGAGAAAUCAACAGGCCUGGACUGUGAAUAACAGCUGUCAAUAUGAAACAUACAACUCGGUGUUCCAACCAUCUAACAAUGCUGCUGUGGCUUCCAGAAACUUUUCUCAACCAUAUCGACAAACACAUAAUUUUCAACUCUCUGCUACCCCUUACCAAGCAUAUUCACCUCCCCAGAGGGCAGGAUUGAUGAGUAACAUGUGUCAACCACAAGUAGCACAUCCUAACAACCAGUUUGCAUUGACUAAUAGCCAAACCAUCAACCAAUGUUUUCCAUCUACAUCUGAAAUGCACGACAAAAGAAGUUAUGGAAAUAUAUACACAGACUGGAGCAAUCCUGCUUCACAUGGGACUACAUCUACCCCACUUUUGCAUAAACAGGCUACAUUUAACCAGUCAUUAGUGCCUGUUACAGCAAAAAAGCAACAGAGUUUUCACACCCAAAUCCAAGAUAUCGCUCAACAAGAUAUGCCUCAAUCUUACUAUGGGCCAAAUGCUAAGAAGGCUUACUUCAAGUCUGGGAAAGAUGACAGAAAUGCAAUUAGCUCACCAUUAAGCGGACAGUUUGUUUUCUGCAAUGUUCCACAAGCUCAACAAAAUCCUCCUCAAUGUAGGAUGUCUGCACGUAGCAAAGCUAACCAUGAAUCAAAUUCUAGUUACUCAACUUUACAAAGCAAUAUGCAAAUCCUUUCAUCCUUGGGUAAAGCAAACACAUUUCCCAUCAAUCAUGCUGUUUCUCAACAAAAGCCCAGCAGCACAGUUAGCAGUGACACGUUAGCAGACUCUUUAAGUCAACCUCCAAAGUACACUGGUCUCCAUCAUAUGGUGAAGCAGUCUGUCAGUCAGACAAACGGGCAAAUGUUGAACUCAGCUGUGCCAGAUUAUUUCCAGAAUUCCAGCAACUCCUCAUCACUUCACCAAGAAAAGAUUUCCCGCCAAUGCAUCAGAAAUGGAAUUCCCCCACAAAACCCAGGCAAUAUUUUAUUUGCACAAGCAGGAAGUGUUGGAAAAACCAAGCGUAGGCAUCAAUUCAGAAUCUUUGGAAACAAACUUUUAAGUCUUUUAAAACAACAAACUCCAGUAGAAAUUCCAUCACAAACCCAAUUACCAGCAACAAAGAAUCCUGGCCUUUCAAAGUCUCUUACUUGUGCUAAAGGAAAUGACUGCUCUGUUCAAGCAUCAUCUGCUCAUUUGGGUACAAAAGCAGUAGCUGUUGUGCCCCCUCUUUCUCAAGAGAGUUCCGAGAAUAUUAGUAAGAGGACCUCUCCGAGUACAAGCGAAUGCUAUAAAGACCAACUGCAAACCUCAGCAUCUGGUUUAGAGAUGCGUUUUUCUUUGAGACAGGAAUGCUAUGAUAGCUACAACACAUUAGGAAGUAGCCAAUCUGAUUCCAGUUCCACACCACAAUCUGAUGAUUCCACUGCGUUGUUGCCUUUAAAACAAAUACCGGAAUUCAAUCAAAGGAAUUUGUCACCAACACAAACAAAUGUAGCUCCAGAAGAGCCUGUCAGCCAAAACAUUGCACAGCAUCAAAGCAGUUGUCAAACUGACACAGAAACAACUUCAUCCUCCCAAUCUUUGAACCACGACCAACCCCUUGUGGAAACCCAUGCCUCAAUCAUGAGCUGUUCAGUGGAAGCUCAGAACAAGCAAGAAAAUCUAACAGAGCUGCUCAUUCUCAAAGAAGGAGAAGAAUAUUCAGAGACACCUUAUAAGUCAUCGUGGUUGAACCUCAAUGCACAGCUAAAUGACAUCGACAAAGAAUUUGGCUUUCCUUGGACUAUGAGGUAUCGGCCACAUCAGGGAAGAACAAAUGAAAGCUCCACUGCUGCAGAAGCCCCAAACCAGGUUUCUCAAACACAGCUUGACCCUGAUGGGUCAAUUAAACAGAUUGAAGAUUCGCUUAAUGAAUUGCUAUCAAGUGCGACAGCUGUUUUCUUUGAAUCUGAAAGAGAUGAGUCCUGUUAUAAUUUUAAAAUUGAGGUCCUGCCAUCAGAGCUUGCUAAACAAAUCUAUGAGCAAACAUCCAGAGAGGAUACAUUAGAGCCUACAGUUUGUGUUGAAAAUGGUGUCUCAUCAAGUGAGCUGAAACUACACGAUGGAACAGAAAGUUUAAUUGAAAGAGGCACAACAUUCUCCACACCAGAAAUUGAAUCAGGAUUACCAUUGAGUAAAGGCCCCAUCAAGAUUUCACAUCAUCCUUCUGUGGAGACAGAAAAUUCAGCAAAAGGUGAGGAGGAAACCGAUGAUCACACCAUGAGGUCUAGUUCCCCAAACAGGGAUGAUUGCCUAAUGGAGACUAAUGGAGAGACAGAAGAUGGAGACUUCUCUGACAGAACAGAAAACAGUUCAUCAGAACAUUCUGACUGUGAGGAAGACUGUGCACAGCCUUUGCAGUUAAAUAGAUUUGACAUACAAAGAAAAUAUGAAAAUACAUACCAGGAAGUGAAACCAGUCAAACAUUUUGUGAAAAAGAAUCACUUAUUUGAUGUCUUUCAUAGGAACAAUAAACUAAUUAUUAAGAGAAAAUAUGCCCACUGUAAAACUAAGCACAACACCAGCAAACAGUCAAUUCAUAAUGUUUUUCAAUCAAAAAAACAAGAAAAGAUAAAGGACAAGUUAAAAUGGAAAACUUCUGCUGCUGAUACUCCAUCAACUGCUGAGAUUGCUGUUAAGGUUUUACAAGAGGGAAAACCGUAUGAUGGUCAAAUUGAGAUUAUUGAAGAUACAUUUGAAAAAGUUCCCCCCAGCAGGGAAGAAAAUGGAUCUAAUCAAAUUACAGAACUGCAAAAAACUUCCAAUUUAUUCCUUGAGGAGGAGUGUGCAGGGCCUCUGCCAGUGACUGGAGUUGAGACUCAAAUUGAAGGUGAAAUUACCAACCUGAAUUCAAAUGAGACAGAUCUCCAACAGGCUAUGCUAAAGGAUGCAGUAAAACCCUACAAAGUCUUUCUAGAUAAGGUUCAUGACUUAAGCAGCCAGGGUGAAUGUCAGACUGUUAGUCCACAAUACAGUAAAAGAGAAGAUCAUGACUCCCGAAAUGUCACUGACAAGCAUCCAUCGCCUGUUGAAGUUGUCUCAUCCCAACAGGAAGAGAAGGAUAACAUCCAAUGUGAGAAUAUUAAUGUCACAGAGUCCUCCAACAGUGAAGAAAGCAGUGUCAAUGCAAUAGCAGAUCCACAGAUUCUGGUUUCAAAUCCUGAGGAAGAAAGUGUAGGGUGUCUGCAGUCUGAUGUAUUGGAUACUCAAACCCAAAGUAAAAUAACCAUCCAGGAUUCAGACAAUAAAGGAGUGAAAGUUGACAAAGUCCUUGUUGAUAAGGCAUAUCCCUCAAACACUCCUGGAUAUCAAAUUACUGAUGGAAAAAGGAAAAGACAAAGCGGUAAGGAGAAGGAGGCUUUUCCUUUUGCAAAGAAAAAAGACCAACAAGCUAAAGAUCUGCAAUCCGGAAAAUCUAAUGAAUAUGUUUCAAAGCCUGAAAGUUUGGUCGCUGAUCCUUCAUCAAUGUUUGUAAAGCUUUCCCUCUACGGUAAAUCCCAACUGGGAGAUCCCAAUGGCAAUCAAACACCCCUAAAGCUGCCAAAAGACCUCUUUAUACGUCUUAGCCCCAGGGAGAAGUCACUCAGCGAGGCUGUCUGCACUGAGAACUAUUCUGUAAAAGAUCAGAUCUGGGAAACAUGGAAGGAAAGUUUUGUACCAACUAACGCUGGCUUUAAGGGCAAACCUAGAAGUCCAAUUACAUUUUCAUCUGGAGAGAAAUUAAAGAAGCCACUCUCAUCUCAAAUGCACAUCUCCAGAAAACAAAAGCGCUGCUUGAGUCUAAAAAAGAGAUGGCUUCACAAACUUGAAGAAAAUGAGACAAAAACUGGUGUGUCAUCCAAACUGAGUUCUGAUCUCAACAAAAGUGAUGCAGAAAGAACAAUCCAACAUCCUGCAAAAAAGACUGUCUUGAAGUGUACGAUGCAACCCUCUUUGUUUGAAGAUGAAUCAAAUGGGAACAAAGAAACUCCUGCUUUUUUCAGAUGCAGGCAAAACUUGUUGCAGCCCAAACAGCUCUCCAAAUGUGUCACCAAAAGAAGUGGAAAUUAACAGCAUUUGGUAUCCUGUCAUCAUUAUUGUCUCCUGCUUGUAAACCUGGAGAAAUGGGAACAAGCAAGGAGACUCUUCCAUCUGUUAUGAAAGCCAAUGUCUCAAUGCUUUAUCUCAGGGAGGGAGGGGGAGAGCUGUACAUACAAUGAGUCAACCAAAAGUUUAUCUUGUUCACAUGCCAGUAAAAGUUUACUACUGUCACAAUUAUGUAUUGUUACAACAUUUUUUUGUUUAUUUUUUUAUUAUUGUAUUUGCCUAUUU